rnacentral:rRNA from 1 species
CCAACCCCUGUGACAUACCACUUGUUGCCUCGGCGGAUCAGCCCGCUCCCGGUAAAACGGGACGGCCCGCCAGAGGACCCCUAAACUCUGUUUCUAUAUGUAACUUCUGAGUAAAACCAUAAAUAAAUCAAAACUUUCAACAACGGAUCUCUUGGUUCUGGCAUCGAUGAAGAACGCAGCAAAAUGCGAUAAGUAAUGUGAAUUGCAGAAUUCAGUGAAUCAUCGAAUCUUUGAACGCACAUUGCGCCCGCCAGUAUUCUGGCGGGCAUGCCUGUUCGAGCGUCAUUUCAACCCUCAAGCACAGCUUGGUGUUGGGACUCGCGUUAAUUCGCGUUCCUCAAAUUGAUUGGCGGUCACGUCGAGCUUCCAUAGCGUAGUAGUAAAACCCUCGUUACUGGUAAUCGUCGCGGCCACGCCGUUAAACCCCAACUUCUGAAUGUUGACCUCGGAUCAGGUAGGAAUACCCGCUGAACUUAAGCAUAUCAAUAAGCGGAGGA